GGAAGCGUGGCGACAUGUGGAGCUGACUGAUACUAAUAGAUCGAGGACUUAACCAA
rnacentral:rRNA from 2 species